UACGGAGGGUGCAAGCGUUGCUCGGAAUUAUUGGGCGUAAAGGGUAGGUAGGUGGUCUCAUUUGUCUGAGGUGAAAGCCUUGGGCUUAACCCAAGAAGGGCCUCAGAAACGGUGAGACUAGAGUACUGGAGAGGGUCGUGGAAUUCCCGGUGUAGCGGUGAAAUGCGCAGAUAUCGGGAAGAACACCCGUGGCGAAGGCGGCACUCUGGGACGGUACUGACGCUGAGACGCGAAAGCGUGGGGAGCGAACAGG
rnacentral:rRNA from 1 species